GGCCUUGUGGCGCAACGGUAGCGCGUCAGAUUCCAGACCUGAAGGUUAUCCGUUCAAAUCGGGUCAGGGUCA